UGAGGAAUAUUGCACAAUGGGCGCAAGCCUGAUGCAGCGACGCCGCGUGUGGGAUGAAGGGGCUACGCCUCGUAAACCACUGUAGCCUGGGACGAAAAACGCCUUAGAGGCGUUAGACGGUACCGGGAAAGUAAGGGUCGGCUAACUACGUGCCAGCAGCCGCGGUAAUACGUAGGACCCAAGCGUUGUCCGGAUUUACUGGGUGUACAGGGUGCGCAGGCGGAUGGGUAAGUCAGGGGUGAAAGUCUGCAGCUUAACUGCAGAAUUGCCUUUGAUACUGCUCAUCUGGGGUGUGGGAGAGGUUGAUGGAAUUCCAGGUGUAGCAGUGAAAUGCGUAGAUAUCUGGAAGAACACCAGUGGCGAAGGCGGUCAACUGGCCCAUAACUGACGCUCAUGCACGAAAGCGUGGGGAGCAAACA
rnacentral:rRNA from 1 species